UCGGGAAUUUUGCGCAAUGGGCGAAAGCCUGACGCAGCAACGCCGCGUGAGGGAUGAAGGCCUUCGGGUUGUAAACCUCUUUUAUCAGGGACGAUAAUGACGGUACCUGACGAAUAAGUCACGGCUAACUACGUGCCAGCAGCCGCGGUAAUACGUAGGUGACAAGCGUUGUCCGGAUUUACUGGGCGUAAAGAGCGCGCAGGCGGUCGUUCAAGUCGAGUGUGAAAGCCCCCGGCUCAACUGGGGAGGGUCACUCGAUACUGAUCGACUCGAAGGCAGGAGAGGGUAGUGGAAUUCCCGGUGUAGUGGUGAAAUGCGUAGAUAUCGGGAGGAACACCAGUGGCGAAGGCGACUACCUGGCCUGUUCUUGACGCUGAGGCGCGAAAGCUAGGGGAGCAAACGG
rnacentral:rRNA from 1 species